UACGAAGGGGGCUAGCGUUGCUCGGAAUCACUGGGCGUAAAGGGUGCGUAGGCGGCGCGGUAAGUCGGGUGUGAAAUCUCGGAGCUUAACUCCGAAACUGCAUUCGAUACUGCCGUGCUUGAGGACUGGAGAGGAGACUGGAAUUUACGGUGUAGCGGUGAAAUGCGUAGAGAUCAUGAGGAAGACCAGUGGCGAAGGCGGGUCUCUGGACAGUUCCUGACACUGAGACACGAAGGCCAGGGGAGCAAACGGGG
rnacentral:rRNA from 1 species